UAACUGUUGGUUUAUUUAUCGGUGCAGCAGCAGAACAUUUUCCACAGACAGUUUUCCUGCCCGUUGGCUUGUUUUAACCAGUUUUCUACCUUCGGCUGAUUCUACCAGCAGACACUGAAAGGACUCUGAUAGUUCAAGUGAAAGCAGCAGUUCCUCCUAAAGGUCAGAGAUUGCAGCAUCUGAGGGCCUCUUCAAAAGAAGACGUAGUUGAUGAAGGCAUUCUGGAGCAGGACCAGAAAGACCACGACCAAGCAGCCUUGAGAUCUUAGGCAGCAUCUCCCUCAGGUCCCUCUCUAUCUCCCCACACAUCCACCAACCACUGGAACACAUCUCCAAAGUUCUGCUGGGCCAGCUCAGCUUCCCCUCAGAAGAAGUUCCACCAGAUGAAGGAGCCUUUUGAGAGGCAGCUGGCAUCGUGAUUGGACAGUACUUUGGUCUGUUCCAAUCCAGCUUCAGCUCCAGAGACGGCAGGCGGGACGAGUCAACGGAGGCCGGGUGGACGAAGGCAUGCAGCUGAGUACAAUCCAGAAAACAACAGAGGAGGAGUGCAGUGGCCCAGGGCCAGAACAAACAGUAGCAUCGUAUGUCUCUGAGAAAACAUCAUAGUAUAGCCUUUGGUAUGAAAAAAACGCCAUCAUAUACAUCGUAUAUUGUACAAAUAACAAGUCAAAGGAAAGAGAUACAUUGUAGAAUUGUAGUAAUUGUGGGCUGACUGAUUUACUGAUUAUCAAUAUUUCAUUUUUUACUGAUUUACGGUAAUAAAUACAUUUUAAAAUGGCGCUACUUUGGCUCUGAACCUUUAUCUACCUGUGGUUGCUCUGUCUUCUGGAGUGAUUUGAUUGGUUAUACGUCACGAAUAAAACUCCUUUAACUUAACAUCUGUAAACAAAACAAAAACAUAUCAACAAAGUUUUCUGUUCAA